AUGAACGCUAGCUACAGGCUUAACACAUGCAAGUCGAGGGGCAUCAGGAAGAAAGCUUGCUUUCUUUGCUGGCGACCGGCGCACGGGUGAGUAACACGUAUCCAACCUGCCCUUUACUCGGGGAUAGCCUUUCGAAAGAAAGAUUAAUACCCGAUGGCAUAAUGAUUCCGCAUGGUUUCAUUAUUAAAGGAUUCCGGUAAAGGAUGGGGAUGCGUUCCAUUAGGUUGUUGGUGAGGUAACGGCUCACCAAGCCUUCGAUGGAUAGGGGUUCUGAGAGGAAGGUCCCCCACAUUGGAACUGAGACACGGUCCAAACUCCUACGGGAGGCAGCAGUGAGGAAUAUUGGUCAAUGGGCGCUAGCCUGAACCAGCCAAGUAGCGUGAAGGAUGAAGGCUCUAUGGGUCGUAAACUUCUUUUAUAUAAGAAUAAAGUGCAGUAUGUAUACUGUUUUGUAUGUAUUAUAUGAAUAAGGAUCGGCUAACUCCGUGCCAGCAGCCGCGGUAAUACGGAGGAUCCGAGCGUUAUCCGGAUUUAUUGGGUUUAAAGGGAGCGUAGGUGGACUGGUAAGUCAGUUGUGAAAGUUUGCGGCUCAACCGUAAAAUUGCAGUUGAUACUGUCAGUCUUGAGUACAGUAGAGGUGGGCGGAAUUCGUGGUGUAGCGGUGAAAUGCUUAGAUAUCACGAAGAACUCCGAUUGCGAAGGCAGCUCACUGGACUGCAACUGACACUGAUGCUCGAAAGUGUGGGUAUCAAACAGGAUUAGAUACCCUGGUAGUCCACACAGUAAACGAUGAAUACUCGCUGUUUGCGAUAUACAGUAAGCGGCCAAGCGAAAGCAUUAAGUAUUCCACCUGGGGAGUACGCCGGCAACGGUGAAACUCAAAGGAAUUGACGGGGGCCCGCACAAGCGGAGGAACAUGUGGUUUAAUUCGAUGAUACGCGAGGAACCUUACCCGGGCUUAAAUUGCAGUGGAAUGAUGUGGAAACAUGUCAGUGAGCAAUCACCGCUGUGAAGGUGCUGCAUGGUUGUCGUCAGCUCGUGCCGUGAGGUGUCGGCUUAAGUGCCAUAACGAGCGCAACCCUUAUCUUUAGUUACUAACAGGUUAUGCUGAGGACUCUAGAGAGACUGCCGUCGUAAGAUGUGAGGAAGGUGGGGAUGACGUCAAAUCAGCACGGCCCUUACGUCCGGGGCUACGCACGUGUUACAAUGGGGGGUACAGAAGGCAGCUAGCGGGUGACCGUAUGCUAAUCCCAAAAUCCUCUCUCAGUUCGGAUCGAAGUCUGCAACCCGACUUCGUGAAGCUGGAUUCGCUAGUAAUCGCGCAUCAGCCACGGCGCGGUGAAUACGUUCCCGGGCCUUGUACACACCGCCCGUCACACCAUGGGAGUCAGUAACGCCCGAAGUCAGUGACCUAACUGCAAAGAAGGAGCUGCCGAAGGCGGGACCGAUGACUGGGGUG
rnacentral:rRNA from 1 species